AUCACUUCUCAGCCUUUUGGCUAAGAUCAAGCAUAGUAUCUGUUCUUAUCAGUUUAAUAUCUGAUACAUCCUCUAUCCGAGGACAAUAUAUUAAAUAUAUUUUUGGAGUCGGGAGAUGGAAUAGGAGCUUGCUCAAAAAAAAAAAAUAUGUGAAGGUCCUUUUCCUUUUCCUCACAAUGCAUUAUCUGAAGGGUUCAAGU